rnacentral:rRNA from 1 species
AUUGAACGCUGGCGGCAGGCCUAACACAUGCAAGUAGAACGAGUGGCGGACGGGUGAGUAAUGUCUGGGAAACUGCCUGAUGGAGGGGGAUCACUACUGGAAACGGUAGCUAAUACCGCAUACCCUCGGAUGUGCCCAGAUGGGAUUAGAUAGUAGGUGGGGUAAUGGCUCACCAAGGCGACGAUCACUAGCUGGUCUGAGAGGAUGACCAGCCACACUGGAACGGAGACACGGUCCAGACUCCUACGGGAGGCAGCAGUGGGGAAUAUUGCACAAUGGGCGGAAGCCUGAUGCAGCCAUGCCGGGUGUAUGAAGAAGGCCUUCGGGUUGUAAAGUACUUUCAGCGGGGAGGCGUUACCCGCAGAAGAAGCACCGACUAACUCCGUGCCAGCAGCCGCGGUAAUUC